AUGGCUUACUUUGACUUAGUAGCUGAAAUAGAUUUGGAUGCAGCAGCCUCCCUUAUUGUUCGCUGUCUGAUCAGUUUUUGUGUUUUCCAGUUCAGUCCUCCCGCUGAAAGCUUAUUUGGAUUUUUCUUUGGAAAUCCAGCUGCUAUCCCUUUUUCUGAACACACUAUUCUUUCUUCUUUCAGGUUAGAGGACUGCAGAUUGUCAGAGGUCAGCUGUAAAGUUCUGGGAUCAGCUCUGGAGUCCAGCCUGUCCAAACUGACAAAACUGGACCUGAGCAGAUUGGAAAAGUGCAGUUUGUCAAAAAUCAGCUGUGAAUCUCUGGGCUCAGCUCUGAAGAACAACCCGUCCAAACUGACAGAACUGGACCUUGGCAUGAACAACCUGCAGGAGUCAGAUGUUCAGCAGCUCCAGGAUCUGGUGAAAAGUUCAAUCUCCAAACUGCAGACUCUGAGGUGGGAGGGGUAGGGUUCAUGCUCUUGAUGUUCCUCCUGGUGGAGCAGAGAGGAGCAGCAGCUCUACAGAGAUGUUCUGACUUGAAGGUGGAGAGCAGAGUGAUGGAGGAAUCAGAGGAAGUGGAGAUGAGUGUCAGAGCUGCAGCAUGAACUGAUCAGAGAUCAGCUCCACUGUCUCUCUCAGCACCAAGUGUAAAGUUAUGGUGGUGCAGCUCCCCCGGUGGACUGAUGGAGAACAACAUUUUAUAUUUCCAAACUUCUGCUUCUCUUCUCUCUAUCGCAUUAGGAGCUUCUCUUAACUUUGUACACAUGCUCUUGCCAUAGUUGCAGAUGUCAUCCUUCCUGUCAGCUGUUAACUAGAAAAAUGAAAGCACCAAACUGUAUCUUUUUAAUUUACAUUAUUUUACACAGAAUAACCUAGGAUUUUUUAUUUUACAAAAUAUGUUAAAUAAAAACAGAGAGGACAUCACUACACAUCUAAAACAUUAGACAACUUUACUGUUUUUUAUUCAAAGAAACCUUGUCUACAUAACUCCGUUAUUGAUAUCUACUUUUUGUUCUCUGCUUACGGCAUUUUAAUAGUCAAUCAAGUGUUUUAUUUUCUAUCAAACGUAGUUUCUGUUUCUUUUAGAAAGCAGGACAACACUGUGCUGAAAAAAAGUCCCUUGCAGUCCCCCAUGAGGAGAACUGGCUCAGUCAAUCACCUGUAGUCCCUGUAAUGUGUAUUUAUCGUGUAUUUACGUAUUUAUCUGCCACUUAAAACACGGUCGGUAAAAAUACUGUCCAGCUUUAAAGGGGUACAUGUGUCACCAACUCCUUGGCAUUGCAUCAGGAUCAUAGUGUAGUCGGUGUCUAACGACACCGUCAUCUCCAAAUCAACACUUUCAUUGAACUUUCUGGUUUCUGCUGCAAGUCCAGCAGCUUUAUCGUCAAAAAAAGCAAACAAACAAAAAAGCGCUGCUUCAUAAGCCAAAUGCUACACAGGUAUGAAUUAACAGAGGUAGAAGUAGAGGAGCAUCAAAACAAUACAACAAAACAAAAGGAGCAGAAUAUUUCUCAAAUUCAUCAUUACAACACACACACAGAUUUGAAACGUUUGUUUGUCAGAGAGUAGACGGCAACUACUUUACAAAUAUUUGGUGAAUUUUCACCAAUCCAAUCCACUUUAUUCAUAUAGCACAUUUCUCAAACAGGCAGUUUCCUAAGUGCUGUACAGUGACCAAAAACCUGACAAAAGAUUACCAAACAAAAUAAAACCAAAGUACACCAGUAAAAUGAAUAGAAAUGAAUAAAAACAAGAUUAAAAAAAAACACAGAUAAAAACACAGAGGACCACACAACUCACGCAGUGUUAGAAGCUAGAGAAUAAAAAUGAGUUUUAAGAUGGACUUAAAACACUCCACAGACCGCGCUGUUCAGA
rnacentral:lncRNA from 1 species